rnacentral:lncRNA from 1 species
GAUAGAGGCCAAUCAUACCUAUGUAAUGUGGCUCCAUAAGAGCCCAAGAGGAGAGGGUUUAGAAAACUUCCAGACUGGUGAACGUGUGGAGAUUGGGGAGAGUGGAGCACCUGGAGAAGACGUGGAAGCUAAGUCUUUUUCCCAUAUCUUGCCCUAGGCGUCUCUUCCAUCUGGCUGUUCCUGAGUUAUAUCCUUUUAUAAUAAGCCAGUGAUCUAGUACAGGCAACAGGAUUAAAGAAGAGGGAAUCCAAAGAGGACGGCCCUUUGAUGUCAGGCAACCUGGUUACCAUCUCGGAAGGCUCUAAUCACCUGUCUGAGCUUGGCACAGAUCUCUGAUGCCUGAGGGAGAAACUGGCAAGAAUAUGAUCAGAACCAAAGCAGAUGCCUGUCCUGAGAAAAGGGAACAUAAUUUUUAGUGAUCUCGAAUGUUCAGGCAGCACUUCAGUCUCCUGCUAGUCACUGUGGGAGAUUUCCAGAUCUAGUCAGUAUCAAGAGACUCCGAGGGGAACAAUGCAGGAGAGCCGCCUCCAGCCUGGCUGUGAUAGCCCUCCCCACAUCUGGAAAAAAUAAAAAAGCAUUUCCUUCUUUCUAUAUGACAAACAGUCAAUCAUUUUGAAUGGGUGUUGUUUCAGGACUUCAACUAUUCGCCAUUUUUUUCCUCACUGUUUGAUGCCUGGAGUUUUUUUUCCUUUGCUUCGCUGGUAGAUACUUUAAGAAAUAUUCCUCAUUGCCUGAAGGCUGACUCCUUGACAUAUUUUGCACAAAUGUGUGUGUGUGCAUAGAAUCACACACUUGGGGGUGUCUUAGCUGUUGACACCUUAAGGCUCAAAGGGAGGGAGAUGGUGAUGGCUCUCAGAGGUCAGGUCUUUGGGGCUCUGAGACCCAUCAAGUCAGCAGGAAUCCCUUCCAGCUACCUUCGCCUUCCUUAUCUUCUUGCUAAAAUCCGGAAACUUUCGGAUAAUGUGCUUUAUGAAUGCUCCCAACCAACCUCUGCCAACAAUUUCAUCCCGAAUAUCCAGGCAGGUUCAUUUCCUGAGGUUAAUUUAAGACCUAGUUUCCAAGCAUGCCUCUUUUGUUCAAUCGUUACUCGAUAAACACUCAUUGACCCCUCUUGUCCCAG